UGUUUUUGCAGUAACUUUAAUUUUUCAAAUGAAAUCUUUGUUGGGACCAAAAUGAAUGGAUGUGAUGAGCAGACCCCUGAGGCACAGGAAGCAGCUAUGGCUUGAGAAGAGCACUCUGCUGCUUGUACACUGCUGGAGCAUCCUGUAUUGAGACAGAGAUAAAUGAGCCUGCUUUGCCCACAAGCCGCCUUCCACACCUGCGUUUGCUACGUCAAGCUACGGUCUCAUUGCUACUGUCUCAUGUCUCCAAAUAGGAAGGCAUCACACUAA
rnacentral:lncRNA from 1 species